GUGGUUCUAGUUUAAGCAAAAUACCUGCUUUGCAAGCAGAAGCUCUGAGUUAGAUUCUCGGGAACUACA
rnacentral:tRNA from 1 species